rnacentral:misc_RNA from 1 species
AACGCACGAGACCUGCGGACCUGCGGAAGGAUCAUUAAUGAGAAGCUGCCCCUCGUGGGUAGACCUCCCACCCUCUGUGAACUUACCUUUGUUGCUUUGGCAGGCCCGUCCUCUGGACCGCCGGCUUCGGCUGGCCCGUGCCUGCCAGAGGAUUCCAAACCCUGUCUGUCAGCGUUGUCUGAGUCUAUAUGAAAUCGUUAAAACUUUCAGCAACGGAUCUCUAGAUCGGAAGAGCACACG